rnacentral:piRNA from 1 species
UUAUAUAGCCCGCAGUGUGACGUU